rnacentral:rRNA from 1 species
AUGGAUGAUACGACGUCUCAGCAGCUAACGUCAAGGAAAGAUGGCGGGUCUGGGAAAAUCAUGUACAUGGGGCAUCAAAGAUGGCUCGAACAGGACGACCCGUGGAGAAACCGUGGAGAUCUAUUCAAUGGUCACGCUGAGCAUCGAGGACCUCCACAUAAGCGGAGCGGUGCCGAAAUCGAUGAGCUGUUGAAAAACUGGAAGGAGUGCCCCGCGCCGGGAAAGACGACGAGAAAGGCGCCGGAGCCGCUGCUGAAGGUAUGGAAGACGAGGUCUGUGUUCUGGGAGUUGGAGUACUGGCACAAACUCGAUACACCUCAUUGCCUUGAUCAAAUGCAUAUCUGUAAGAAUGUCCUUGAGAGCUUGCUCGCAACACUGAUGAACAUGCCGGAUAAGACCAAGGAUGGGCCGAAGGCAAGAAAAGACUUGCAAGAUUUGAAAAUUAGGGAAGAUCUGCACAUGCCACCCCGUAAAAUGUCAGACGAGACAGAGACGGAGACAGAGGCACGGGAGAAGAAGGGCAAGAAAAUAAAGAAUGAGGAUUAUUGCCCCCCUUCUUGCUUCACCUUAAGUCAGGCUGAGAUCAAUCAAUUCUUUAAGUGCCUUACCGGAGUCAAAGUUAGUUCCGGUUGCUGUGGCAAGAUAAGUAGAUAUCUAGACACGGACAAGAAAAGGUUCAGCGGGAUGAAGUCUCAUGACUGUCAUGUGAUGAUGAUGCAAAUAUUACCUAUUGCCCUUAGAGGGAUAAUGGACAAGCACGUCCGUGACACGCUUAUUGGUCUCUGCAACUUAUUCAACGUCAUCUCUUGA